rnacentral:tRNA from 1 species
GUGCCUGUAUGGCACAGUUAAUUGGGUAUUUGCCUGCCGCCCAAAAGGUUGCUGGUUCAAUUCCAGCCAGGGACA